UACGUAGGGGGCAAGCGUUGUCCGGAAUCAUUGGGCGUAAAGAGCGUGUAGGCGGCUCGAUACGUCUGCUGUGAAAAUCCAGGGCUCAACCCUGGAAGGCCGGUGGAAACUGUCGGGCUAGAAUCCGGAAGAGGCGAGUGGAAUUCCCGGUGUAGCGGUGAAAUGCGCAGAUAUCGGGAGGAACACCAAUGGCGAAGGCAGCUCGCUGGGACGGUACUGACGCUGAGACGCGAAAGCGUGGGGAGCAAACAGG
rnacentral:rRNA from 1 species